CAGUCGCCGCGGGAAUACGUAGGUCCCGAGCGUUGUCCGGAUUUAUUGGGCGUAAAGCGAGCGCAGGCGGUUAGAUAAGUCUGAAGUUAAAGGCUGUGGCUUAACCAUAGUACGCUUUGGAAACUGUUUAACUUGAGUGCAAGAGGGGAGAGUGGAAUUCCAUGUGUAGCGGUGAAAUGCGUAGAUAUAUGAAGGAACACCGGUGGCGAAAGCGGCUCCCUGGCUUGUAACUGACGCUGAGGCUCGAAAGCGUGGGGAGCAAACAGGAUUAGAUACCCCGGUAGUCCCUGUCUCUUAUACC
rnacentral:rRNA from 1 species